rnacentral:rRNA from 1 species
AAAGAGGGCGGUUACCACGGUGUGGCCGAUGACUGGGGUGAAGUCGUAACAAGGUAGCCGUAGGGGAACCUGCGGCUGGAUCACCUCCUUAACGAA